rnacentral:rRNA from 1 species
AUUGAACGCUGGCGGCAUGCUUUACACAUGCAAGUCGAACGGUAACAGGUUAAGCUGACGAGUGGCGAACGGGUGAGUAAUGCAUCGGAACGUGCCCGAUCGUGGGGGAUAACGCAGCGAAAGCUGCGCUAAUACCGCAUACGAUCUGAGGAUGAAAGCGGGGGACCGUAAGGCCUCGCGCGAUCGGAGCGGCCGAUGUCAGAUUCGGUAGUUGGUGGGGUAAAGGCCGACCAAGCCAACGAUCUGUAGCUGGUCUGUGAGGACGACCAGCCACACUGGGACAGAGACACGGCCCAGACUCCAACGGGAGUCAGAAGUGGGGAAUUUUGGACAAUGGGCGAAAGCCUGAUCCAGCAAUGCCGCGUGCAGGAAGAAGGCCUUCGGGUUGUAAACUGCUUUUGUACGGAGCGAAAAGGCUCUCUCUAAUACAGGGGGCUCAUGACGGUACCGUAAGAAUAAGCACCGGCUAACUACGUGCCAGCAGCCGCCGUAA